rnacentral:rRNA from 1 species
CCUACGGGCGGCAGCAGUGGGGAAUAUUGGACAAUGGGGGGAACCCUGAUCCAGCCAUGCCGCGUGUGUGAAGAAGGCCCUCGGGUUGUAAAGCACUUUCAGUGAGGAAGAACGCCUGGUGGUUAAUACCCAUCAGGAAAGACAUCACUCACAGAAGAAGCACCGGCUAACUCCGUGCCAGCAGCCGCGGUAAUACGGAGGGUGCGAGCGUUAAUCGGAAUUACUGGGCGUAAAGCGCGCGUAGGUGGCUUGAUAAGCCGGUUGUGAAAGCCCCGGGCUCAACCUGGGAACGGCAUCCGGAACUGUCAAGCUAGAGUGCAGGAGAGGAAGGUAGAAUUCCAGGUGUAGCGGUGAAAUGCGUAGAGAUCGGGAGGAAUACCAGUGGCGAAGGCGGCCUUCUGGACUGACACUGACACUGAGGUGCGAAAGCGUGGGUAGCAAACAGGAUUAGAUACCCGAGUAGUC